UUUUCUGCAGGGGUGGCUUCAAUAUUAAAUUGAUUUUUGGCAUUCGGUCUCGGAUGUGAAGCUUGCUUCAGCCAGACCACGAGUCUUCCCCGUAUUGCAGUACCACGGGGCUAGGCUUUUUUGGU
rnacentral:snRNA from 1 species